AUAGGUGGAGUUUUCCUCCCCUUUUAUCUACCUGUGGCUGGCUUUCCCACAGGAAGACCUAAAGUCAUAGAUGAUGGAUAACCUCAAAUGGCUCUUAAGUAGAUGAAAAGAUUCUUCCACAUAGCACAGCUUAAAAACGGUGUGAUGGAAUGAUUGUCAGGAGGUUCUCCUCUGCACUAUAGGCGUAAUGAAGAAGUUAGACUUUGAGGAAGAGUUUGUAUGGCUCCCAGGUGCAAUAGGACCAGGUCAAGGCCCCUCUCCAGCCACUCCCCAUAAUUGAGGUUCCAUUUCAGCAUGUAGGUGUAGAUAGUCUGGGUCGUUUCCCUAAGAAGACACCCAGAGGAAAGCUGUACAUACUGACUUGCUUGGCUGCAAGGCCAGAGGCGGUAUCGACGGUGGCCGCAAGUUUCAUAAAGAUGUGUUCAGCUAUUGAGGGUCUAAUCCUCCCAUAGAAAUGUAACAUUUUCAUGGUGUGAUGUUCUGUACCUCCACCACUCAGGCAGUGCAGCUCCCCCGUCCCACUCUUAGAGCCAUAACUGAGUCCCACGUGUACAUAUUUGUUAUAACAUUGCAUUGGCCAGGGAGCAUCACUUUAUAUUGCACAUGCUACAUUGUACGUGUACAUUAUACAUACAAUCAUAUUUCCUUUUGUAAAGAUGUAACCACCUUAUGUAAAAUUGAGCAAAAUGCUUAAAACAGUUCAAGCGCAUUAUGUGAGGAAAAUAUACACACUGAAAAUGUGUUGCGGUUACUGAAGUAUUUCCCAGGCCUAUCCCCUUCAGUCCUGCAUCUCAGGAUAGAAGAUACUCUAGACCGGCUAUAAGCUGUACAAAGGGAGACUGUCUCUACAAUGUAAAAAGGUGAAGUGGUCUAAGACAUACUUGCUUUUCUUGGGCAAGACCUCAUGAAAUCAGAUUACACAUCCUUCCGUUUUGCUCAGUUUUGCUGUGGAAAAGAAUGAAAGCCGGCACCUCCUAGAGUAGGAAACCUCCCAAACAUUUUAGAAACUAGUCAACCACUAUAUUAAGUCACACAUGCUGCCCUAUCCUCUGUUUAUAUACCAGACCAGAAUACAAGCAGAAUAGCGGUACUGUGCUGAGAGCAGGGUGUGUGCUGGGAAGUCUCUAUGCCCUUGAACUCUUGUGGUGCCUUUCUUUGCAACAGAAUGGAGGGCUGCGGGUGUAGCCACUAGACAGCUCUGUGCUGUAGUAGGUGACAACCAAUGGAUGAGGUGUAUAGGAACCCCAUUUGUCUCUACCACUAGAGCACCACUGCAGCUAUUCCUUGGCAACCCAGCAGGCUCAGGGGCAAAACAGUCCACCCAAAGCCAGAUUUUUGAGCUUUGAUGAGAGGUGGCCCCAUUUGGUCCCAUGUGUUCUGUGUUUCUCGCCUCAUUUUCUUGCUAAGCGAGAGACGGAUUUUUCCUGUGGUGGUUUCUUUUCACAAUUUUUAGUGUCUUUUUUCUUCGCGUUCAUCCCUGUAUAUUUAUACAAGGCACCCAGUUUACUGUUCCACCAUUUCUGUUUUGGGGAGGAUGUUUUCUCCAUUCUACUAGACACUGUUAUCUUUAUUGUCCUGACACCAUCAUAAAAACUGUUUCACCAAGCUAGAGGUUUUAUAAAAUGCCAAACGCUGUUGGGCUGUCCAGUCUAGAAAUACCUUUUAGAAAAUAACAGAUCUUCCCACUAGGUCUGUAUAAUUAUCUUCUAUAUUUCCCUUACUCCUACUGUUCAUCUAACAAUUAUGGCACCGUAACAAAUGUCAUGGCCUAUUUCCCACAUCAUUUCUCCUCCUUUUCCUCUCUCUCUCGGUCUCUGUCAAGCUUGCCUGUACUUUUCCUUUUAUGGAUAGCUUCAUCUCCCUGUUAGACCAAAACUGUGUUAGAUAACCAGUAAGGGCCAUCAACUAAACCCCUUUAAUCCUAAUUUCUCUUGAGGGGCUUUCCAACCUCGGGGAACUUUUUGGCUAAAAGAAAAGCUCAUCUCGGCCUAUAUUCGUCUGAACUUCUGACAACGUGGCAACCCUUCAGCACAACUCCUUUCACAAAAGACCAAUUUCAUAUUUAGUGGGGUGAUUGUUUUCGGUUACUUGACUGUGGGUUCACGCUGGUGAUGGUCAAAUGCGCAGAUAAUUGCAGCAUCAAUGCAACUGACAUUUGGAAAAUAAUCAAAUGUUAAACUAGCUUUUAUGUUGACAUUUUCUGACUUUCAAAAACAUAGACUAAAUAUGCAAGUCAGAAUGCAUCAAUCCUCCCCAGGUAUAAAUCUGUGUGGUAUAAAUCUGCUCCUUGAACAUCUGUCUGAUACUUCUUUGUAUAAUGUAUGAGGAAAUGCAAGUGCACUGAUAUGACACACAGGAUCACAACUAGGGUGACCAGACAGCAAAUGUGAAAAAUCGGGACAGGGAGUGGGGGGGUAAUAGGAACCUAUAUAAGAAAAAGACCCCAAAAUCGGGACAGCUGGUCACCCUAAUCACAACACAGACUGACGUACAAGCAGAAGGACAUAAAUAGACAAGACAGAGGUGCUAUAGUUGUUACCUAAACACAAAAUCUUACACAAGGUGAAGAACCGCCAAGCUAUGGGAAAGGUGAUUCCACGUCUCAGGAAGGAUGUUUUUCAUGCUCAUACUCACAGAGUAAAACAUACUCUUCGGUCUAGAUUUGUUUUCAUUUCAGGUCAAGGAAAAACAUCAAAGAAAGGGCUUAACCCUAAGAGACACUAACCACUUCCUGCAAGGUCCUGAUCACCCUGAACUCCCACUGAACUAGUGGGUGCUGAGCACUUCUCAGAAUUGGGCCCAAAGACUGAACAAAGAGAAAUUUUCCAUGACCGAGAAAACAGAGUGACUGGAACAUGCUGCAUCUUAAGGACAAGAUGGCAGCUGCAUUAGGCAGGGAGAAAAAUCUACUUUUAAAAGUGUAAUCUUUAGAAAACAGCCUUUAAUUGGUAUUGCUACGUGUAGAAAGACUAGUUAGACAUAAUAGGCAAGAUUCUGUCACCCCUACUCACACUGAGUAAUACCUCACUCUACUAACACUGAUUUCAAUGGGGCUUGCUUGUGGGGUAUUGUACUAGUCAACAUAAGGGGGAGAGAAUCUGGCCCAACAUGAGACCAAUAUCAUGAAAAGAAACCAGAUAACCCAGAGUAGAAGUCAGUUACAGUGAUUGGUGUAAGAGGAUCAGAGCCAAAGCCUGACAAUAAUUUUUUUAUAUAUAUAUGGAAAGAGAGAGAUCAACUCUCAGAGCUCAUCCAGAGCUCUGAGAUAAUAAUAGAGAGCCUCUGACUAAGCCAGCCCUGAUUACAGAAUGGGCCCCACCUGAGAGAAAUUAGGUGAUUCCAGGUUUAACUACUGAGUGGGCCCAGCUGAGGAAGGGCUGGAGGAAAGAGAAUGCAGAGAGUCAAAAGGUGCCUGCAGGGGCUUGAGUGAGCACCCAGGGGACAGAUUGGGAGACCGAGAAGGGAAGGAAAGAGGUGAGGAAGGAAAUGGUGCAGGGAAAACUGCACUAUGGGUAGAGGAUUUGACUUGGUUGUGCAGUCCAGGGCCCUGGGCUGUAACCCAGAAUUGAGAUUGGGACUGGAUUCCCCUACUAGCCCUCAGCAAGUGGUGUACAAGGGUAGCUGAGCCCAGGAAGGGGGCUGCAGUCUGAAUGUGACCUCGCUGAAGAAGAGCUGUGGAGAGGCUGGAAGCUUCUGAUUUCUAUUAAGAGAGUUUAGAACUUUAGUCUGUUCCUUCCAGGGUCAGCCAUCCGCACUAAAGACUGUGCCCUGGCUGGAGGGGUGAGUUAUCUAAAAGAAACCACCACAGCCCCAGAGUGACUGUUGACAAGGGCUGCUACCCCACAAGGAUACUGUGAUGCCAUGCCUGGCCAUGAGGCAGUGCAGGGUGGUGAGUAAACCCUGUUACAAUGCUUUUUCUUAAAUUCCUUUAAUUGCAGCGUGUCUGAAACAACUACACUUUUGUAGUUUUCCUUGUCCGCUCUCUCUUUUCCUACCCCUCACGGCAAGCACUGUAUCUCAGCCCUAGUCUACAUCCAGCUGAUGACAGCACCUUUGGUGACCAGUAAAUGACUGACUGACUGACCUUGGCCACUUCUAUAUUGCGUCCUUUGGAAGAAAUGAACUCCAAGAUUGCCUACUUGGAAAUUCUUCUUUUUUGGAUGGGAUAAGUAUUGCUGACAUCAUGAAGCACAAGUGGAGAAGAAGGAAGUGUCAGGAAUGCCACACACAGAGGAGAAAAGAAGAUGGAGGAAAAGGAAAGGAACUCUGGGCACAGUAACCAACCUCAAAUCAGGCCUCAGGUCAUGUAAUUAGACUGUAGGGGAAUCUCGAGCCUCUUAAUACCUUGAGCAGCGUGACCGCCCUGUAAGCUGGGUCCCGGUCUGUGCUAUUGUGUCGUUUUGACAUUCUGCUCCGUUAUCUGGCUAUUGAGGGUGACUGCCCUGUCAUCGGGGUGCACGUCUCCUCCCCCUGUCUUUGGAGGGGCAUUGAGCUCUUUGUUAAUCUGAGCAAUGUGACCGCUCUGUAUCUGGGGUCUGGGUCUCUGCCCUCUUGCUCAUUUGGCUUUACGCCGUGCUCUGCCCCAUUAGUCAGCGUGACAACCCUGUAAUUAGGGUCUAUGUCACAAGCCUCUCUAGGAUAGGACAUAUUGAGCUCUUUGGUACUUUGAGAGCUUGACCUUCCUGUCAUUCAGGUUAUGGUCUCUCCUCUUUGGCUAAUGCCAGCGACCACGCUGUAAUCAGGGUACAGGUUGCAUCUCGCUUUUGAAAUCUGGGUAAUUAGAAUCAUUUCCGUUAUGUGGGCAGCUUGGCCUCCCUGUAACUAGGGUGUGCGUCUCCGAGGCCCUCUGGGUCUCUUGGCCUCGUGCUGUCUUCACAACCUGUUGCGAACGACUUCCCUGUAAUCAGGGAUCGGGUCUGUGCCCUCUAGUCUCUUGGCACUUGGCCAAAUGCAGCCACUGCCCUGAAUGAGCACCCUGUAAACAGGGUACAGGUCUUAUCUACUACUAUUUCUGGCACCCCCAUGAGACUGUGUCCAGAGUUCCGGCCCAUCCAACAGCGCUUCCAACAUGCCUGGAAUUCUGCAGCCAAGUCUCCUGCUUUCUACUCACUUCUUGGACUCUUGGAGACCUGACAUGCUAUUGGUGGUACGAUCCGAAAGUGAGUGUCCGGGGCGGUUUUGGACCGUUGUCGAAAGCGGUUCUCAUUUACACACGCCUUGUGCUCCCUCUCUCUGAUUCAGGCAUCAUGAAGCAGAAGUGGAGAAGAAGGCCUAACUUGUGUAUUUCUCACACAUUUCUAAAAGGAAGCAAACAAAACUAAAUGUUCUGGCAACUGGCAGUUACUCUCCGCACUUCACAACUUUCAAACACCUACUCUACUUAAAUGGUCACACCAACCAAAGUGUACCACACAUUCAAUAUUAACUUUGCACCUAUUGUGUCAGAAGUGAGAGUGUUUUUAGUAGUUGUGUCCAUUGGUGGAAGUGGCAGUCGUGGUGUUUUAGUAGUCUUUUACGCUUCUUGAAUUCAAAGGAUGAUGAUGUGGAUGUUUUAGGUAGGUAUUUUUCUGUUAAGUCUUGGUAUUUGGGUAGAGGUGCAGUAUUUUGUGAUUAUGACUAUUUUUCUGGUAUUGGUUUAGUGUGAAUUGUUGGCAAUUUUAGAUGUUUUUGUAUCCGUACAUUAGUAGAUGUCUUUAGAGGGGAAAGCUGAGGUUGCCUGUUUGGUGCAAUUUGAUUGGUGUGAAAGUUAAUUUCGGGUAGGUGUUUGAAAGCACUGAGGUUUGAAUUUUUAGCUCAACAGGGAUGCAGGAUCCACCUGGCUACCUCAGUUCUUACUGUCAUUCCUAAUUCCAAAAUCUUGGAUGAAGAUGACCAGGCAGAAUAAAGAUAUCUCCAGAGACUUUCAAGAGGGUAGCAUUUCUGCAGCUUUAGGGGAUCCCUUAAACCUUAUUGAGCUUUUCAAAGUGUAAUAAUUGUGGAAAACUUCCACUUCUGCCAAUUCCAUGUUGAACAAUGACCUGUAUUAAAGGACUUACACUGGUAGUUAAUUCUGUUCUGUAUUAAGAUGAUUUUGCUA